rnacentral:rRNA from 1 species
AUGCAGUCGAACGAGAGAGAAGGAGCUUGCUUCUUCGAUCGAGUGGCGAACGGGUGAGUAACGCGUGAGGAACCUGCCUCAAAGAGGGGGACAACAGUCGGAAACGACUGCUAAUACCGCAUAAGCCCACGGGUCGGCAUCGACCUGAGGGAAAAGGAGUGAUCCGCUUUGAGAUGGCCUCGCGUCCGAUUAGCUAGUUGGUGAGGUAACGGCCCACCAAGGCGACGAUCGGUAGCCGGACUGAGAGGUUGAACGGCCACAUUGGGACUGAGACACGGCCCAGACUCCUACGGGAGGCAGCAGUGGGGAAUAUUGCACAAUGGGGGAAACCCUGAUGCAGCGACGCCGCGUGGAGGAAGAAGGUCUUCGGAUUGUAAACUCCUGUUGUUGAGGAAGAUAAUGACGGUACUCAACAAGGAAGUGACGGCUAACUACGUGCCAGCAGCCGCGGUAAAACGUAGGUCACAAGCGUUGUCCGGAAUUACUGGGUGUAAAGGGAGCGCAGGCGGGAAGACAAGUUGGAAGUGAAAUCUAUGGGCUCAACCCAUAAACUGCUUUCAAAACUGUUUUUCUUGAGUAGUGCAGAGGUAGGCGGAAUUCCCGGUGUAGCGGUGGAAUGCGUAGAUAUCGGGAGGAACACCAGUGGCGAAGGCGGCCUACUGGGCACCAACUGACGCUGAGGCUCGAAAGUGUGGGUAGCAAACAGGAUUAGAUACCCUGGUAGUCCACACCGUAAACGAUGAUUACUAGGUGUUGGAGGAUUGACCCCUUCAGUGCCGCAGUUAACACAAUAAGUAAUCCACCUGGGGAGUACGACCGCAAGGUUGAAACUCAAAGGAAUUGACGGGGGCCCGCACAAGCAGUGGAGUAUGUGG